GCCAUUCCGCGUGAGUGAAGAAGGCCUUCGGGUUGUAAAGCUCUUUCGCAAGGGAAGAAACUUAUGAUCGAAUAAAUCAUGAGGUUGACGGUACCUUGAUAAGAAGCACCGGCUAACUACGUGCCAGCAGCCGCGGUAAUACGUAGAGUGCGAGCGUUAAUCGGAAUUACUGGGCGUAAAGCGUGCGCAGGCGGUUUUGUAAGUCGGAUGUGAAAUCCCCGGGCUCAACCUGGGAACUGCGUUCGAAACUGCAAGGCUAGAGUGUGUCAGAGGGGGGUAGAAUUCCACGUGUAGCAGUGAAAUGCGUAGAGAUGUGGAGGAAUACCAAUGGCGAAGGCAGCCCCAUGGGAUAACACUGACGCUCAUGCACGAAAGCGUGGGGAGCAAACAGGAUUAGAUACCCUGGUAGUCCACGCCCUAAACGAUGUCAACUAGUUGUAGGUAGAGUAAAAUCUAUGAGUAACGUAGCUAACGCGUGAAGUUGAGCGACUGGGGAGUACGGUCGCACGAUUAAACUCAAAGGAA
rnacentral:rRNA from 1 species